UCAGCGGGCCGCGGUGAUAAAAAGGUUGGGGACCACUGGGAUACAACAUUAAAAAACCAGUAAACACAGGAAAAGCUUCUUGUUCACUCCUCCUUCUGUCUCCUGAAGUUCUGAAAGGGGAGAAUCUCUGCGGAUGAGUUUACAGCUCUUGAUCAGUAGCCCAAAAACUGAACGGAGGGAUGAGGAGGAGGAAGAGGAAGAGGAGGAGGAGAAGGAGGAAGAGGAACCAAAAAACCCAACCAAUCAUUGGCUGUAUUAAAAGAAGGAUAGAACCAACAUGACAUGAAGUGCUACUACUGCUUUAUAAGGCCUUGGUAAGAAUACCACAUCCAGUUUUGGUCACCACAAUGUAAAAAAAGAUGUCGAGACUCUGGAAAUAGCGCAGAGAUGAGUAACAAAAAUGAUUAGGGGCCUGGAGGCUAAAACACAUGAUUAAAACCUUCUUAAAUGUGCAUUGCACGGUGGCAUCUGCCAUUCUGACUUGUUUUUGAAAUUUGCUUCCAUUCCAACGCUGUAUAUAAUAAACCUAGAACUCCACUUAGAAAUAAACAUUAUUGUAUUGAG